GUCUAUUCUGAAUGGAGCUACCUUCAAGCUCAGGCUCUGAUUUGGGUCAGUGCCCUAUUCAAGACCACUUCAAAAAUCAUAAAGUUUUCCUGGAGAGUGAAUUGUGAGGAAGUGUAAGAAGAGAACCUUUUCCCUUCAGGCUUCUGAUAACAGUUAAGAGUAAAAAUUGCACCCAUAUAAGAAGAAAGGGAUUCAAGUGAACAAACAUGUCAUGAUGAUGAAACUACCUCCCUUUGCAUCACUUACACAUGAGCUACGCGCUGAAGAACUGAAAGAACAGAGAGGAAAAAACAGCUACAGACAAUUUUGGACACUGUGGUGUGACACUGCAUCAUUAUCAACAGCAUGUCUCUGUCACUGCUGAAAACAGUGUCAGAGUGUUCUUAAAGACUGUUC
ensembl:lncRNA